UACGAAGGGGGCUAGCGUUGUUCGGAAUCACUGGGCGUAAGGCGCACGUAGGCGGCUUUGCAAGUUAGCGGUGAAAGCCCGGGGCUCAACUCCGGAAUUGCCUUUAAAACUGCAUCGCUAGAAUUGUGGAGAGGUAAGUGGGAUUCCGAGUGUAGAGGUGAAAUUCGUAGAUAUUCGGAAGAACACCAGUGGCGAAGGCGACUUACUGGACACAUAUUGACGCUGAGGUGCGAAAGCGUGGGGAGCAAACAGG
rnacentral:rRNA from 1 species